ACAAAAUAAUUAAAAGCUGUAGCCAUGAGAGAGAGCAACGCAGUUUAAACUUUAACACAAAGACAUGAAUCAUAUCGCACCUUUAUUUCAUCAGUACAAAACAGAAGGCUAAACGCUAAACAAGAAGAAGGAGACUGUGAGUGAAGCGUGUUGUAACGUCGUGUUGACACAAGAUGGCGUCGGUCGGUUCAUCACAGCGCCCAUGUCUCACCUGCUGAGGAUCGACUGUCGCUCCCCUUCGAUGACCUCCAGCUUAUUGGACAGCUGCUGUCCAGAAGGUUGAAGCCCUGUGGCAAUAUACAAGGUCGCUGAAGACACACCUGCGCCUCCCUCUCUCAUCCAGCUCUUAACCCCGCUACUCAGAGUGCCGACCGGCUGAUGCCAGCGCUUCAGCUGCUCUGUUUGUGGCCAUAGCCUCGCCAAACGAGAGCCAUCACACUCCACUGCCCGUCUCCCCUCCCUACUCUCCUCAACAGCACUCCUACGCCAUAUGUCCUUGGUAAGGGAAAGACCCCAAGUCCCCCCCCUGCUGAAGAUGCUGAUCAAACAAAAUCCUCUUUCGCUCUCUGUCUCCCCCACUCUGUCUUUCUCUCUCUCUCUUUCUCUCUCUCUCUCUCUCUCUCUCACACACACACACACACACAGAGGGUUUUUGUGAUCUAUCUUGUUGUGUACUCAUGCACACGACAAGAUAGAUCGAUCACUAACACACUGGAGAGGUUGUUGUGUAAGGGCUGUGAUCGUGAAUUUGCUCACCUCAUAGAACAGGAUUUGAGUGUAUGAAGGUGGUAAUCAAAUUUCCCCCAUCAGAGACACACUGUCGGCUACAAAAGCAUGGCAUCCAAAUUCAAAGAGGCGUAACUGCAGGAAAACACAAAUGAAUUGUUCCUGUCACCUCAAGCCAUGACUUCAUUCAUGAUGUGCUGGUCUCUUGUCAUGCCACUGCAUCAUUUACUUCUGCAUAACUUGACUCACUCUUGGAGCCGGGGAAACCUUGCUAUGACUCACAUCUCGGAAAAAAAAACUACUUGUGAUUCUUCUUUUUUAUGCUUGCUCCUACACACAUGUAUUUGUCAAGUGUACGAGCAUCCUAAUUACAUCUUCCAUGAAUCUGUGUGAUUGAUUUUAUGAGACAUCUCCCUUUUUAAAAAAAAUAAAAUACCAGCUCUGCCGGGGGAUGUGUGUAAUGGAGGAAGACCGUCUCAUUUCCACAUCGCCUUAAUAUAAAUCUAAUGAAUGCAGCUUUCAAUGUCACGGCAA